rnacentral:tRNA from 1 species
GCCACCAUAGUUCAAUGGUAGAACGAUGGUAUCGUAAACCGUAAAUAUUGGUUCAAAUCCAAUUGGUGGCU